rnacentral:rRNA from 1 species
GACGAACGCUGGCGGCGUGCUUAACACAUGCAAGUCGAACGGAAAGGCCCUGCUUUUGUGGGGUGCUCGAGUGGCGAACGGGUGAGUAACACGUGAGUAACCUGCCCUUGACUUUGGGAUAACUUCAGGAAACUGGGGCUAAUACCGGAUAGGAGCUCCUGCUGCAUGGUGGGGGUUGGAAAGUUUCGGCGGUUGGGGAUGGACUCGCGGCUUAUCAGCUUGUUGGUGGGGUAGUGGCUUACCAAGGCUUUGACGGGUAGCCGGCCUGAGAGGGUGGCCGGCCACAUUGGGACUGGGAUACGGCCCAGACUCCUACGGGAGGCAGCAGUGGGGAAUAUUGCACAAUGGGCGGAAGCCUGAUGCAGCAACGCCGCGUGCGGGAUGACGGCCUUCGGGUUGUAAACCGCUUUCGCCUGUGACGAAGCGUGAGUGGCGGUAAUGGGUAAAGAAGCACCGGCUAACUACGUG